rnacentral:rRNA from 1 species
UACGGAGGGGGCUAGCGUUGUUCGGAAUUACUGGGCGUAAAGCGCACGUAGGCGGCUUUUUAAGUCAGGGGUGAAAUCCCGGGGCUCAACCCCGGAACUGCCCUUGAAACUGAGAGCUAGAAUCUUGGAGAGGCGAGUGGAAUUCCGAGUGUAGAGGUGAAAUUCGUAGAUAUUCGGAAGAACACCAGUGGCGAAGGCGACUCGCUGGACAAGUAUUGACGCUGAGGUGCGAAAGCGUGGGGAGCAAACAGG